rnacentral:rRNA from 1 species
CCCUUAGAUGUUCUGGGCCGCACGCGCGCUACAAUGGUCUUCGCAAACGGAUGCAUUCUCGAAGGAGAAUGCCAAUCUUGGAAUCUAUGCCUUGGUCGGGACAGUUGCUUGCAAUUUUUCGACUCGAACCAGGAAUUCCUUGUAAUCGUGAUUCAUCACAUCACGAUGAAUAUGUCCCUGCCCUUUGUACACACCGCCCGUCGCUCCUACCGAUCGAAGAGUUAGGUGAAUUGUUUUGAUCGAUAAGAUUUGACUAUGGUCAACUCUCGUUGUGAAAUUCUGUGAAUCUGACUGUUUAGAGGAAGGAAAAGUCGUAACA